rnacentral:rRNA from 1 species
GUGGGGAAUAUUGGACAAUGGGCGAAAGCCUGAUCCAGCCAUGCCGCGUGAGUGAUGAAGGCCUUAGGGUUGUAAAGCUCUUUCAGUAGGGAAGAUAAUGACGGUACCUACAGAAGAAGCCCCGGCUAACUUCGUGCCAGCAGCCGCGGUAAUACGAAGGGGGCUAGCGUUGUUCGGAUUUACUGGGCGUAAAGCGCACGUAGGCGGAUUGGUCAGUUAGAGGUGAAAUCCUGGAGCUCAACUCCAGAACUGCCUUUAAUACUGCCAGUCUAGAGUCCAGAAGAGGUGAGUGGAACUCCUAGUGUAGAGGUGGAAUUCGUAGAUAUUAGGAAGAACACCAGUGGCGAAGGCGGCUCACUGGUCUGGUACUGACGCUGAGGUGCGAAAGCGUGGGGAGCAAACAGGAUUAGAUACCCCUGAAGUCC